GUCCAGUGGUGCAGUGAUUUGAAUGUUGGAAUAUGACUCUGGAGACCAGGGUUCAAACCCCUGCUCACA